CAGUAGGGGUUCUGAGAGGAAGGUCCUCCACAUUGGAACUGAGACACGGUCCAAACUCCUACGGGAGGCAGCAGUGAGGAAUAUUGGUCAAUGGGCGAGAGCCUGAACCAGCCAAGUAGCGUGCAGGAAGACGGCCCUAUGGGUUGUAAACUGCUUUUAUAAGGGAAUAAAGUGAGUCUCGUGAGACUUAUUGCAUGUACCUUAUGAAUAAGGACCGGCUAAUUCCGUGCCAGCAGCCGCGGUAAUACGGAAGGUCCGGGCGUUAUCCGGAUUUAUUGGGUUUAAAGGGAGCGUAGGCCGGAGAUUAAGCGUGUUGUGAAAUGUAGACGCUCAACGUCUGCACUGCAGCGCGAACUGGUUUCCUUGAGUACGCACAAAGUGGGCGGAAUUCGUGGUGUAGCGGUGAAAUGCUUAGAUAUCACGAAGAACUCCGAUUGCGAAGGCAGCUCACUGGAGCGCAACUGACGCUGAAGCUCGAAAGUGCGGGUAUCGAACAGGAUUAGAUACCCCGGUAGUCCGCACGGUAAACGAUGGAUGCCCGCUGUUGGUCUGAACAGGUCAGCGGCCAAGCGAAAGCAUUAAGCAUCCCACCUGGGGAGUACGCCGGCAACGGUGAAACUCAAAGGAAUUGACGGGGGCCCGCACAAGCGGAGGAACAUGUGGUUUAAUUCGAUGAUACGCGAGGAACCUUACCCGGGCUUGAAUUGCAGAGGAAGGAUUUGGAGACAAUGACGCCCUUCGGGGUCUCUGUGAAGGUGCUGCAUGGUUGUCGUCAGCUCGUGCCGUGAGGUGUCGGCUUAAGUGCCAUAACGAGCGCAACCCCUCUCCUUAGUUGCCAUCAGGUUAAGCUGGGCACUCUGGGGACACUGCCACCGUAAGGUGUGAGGAAGGUGGGGAUGACGUCAAAUCAGCACGGCCCUUACGCCCGGGGCUACACACGUGUUACAAUGGCAGGUACAGAGAGACGGUUGUACGUAAGUACGAUCAAAUCCUUAAAGCCUGUCUCAGUUCGGACUGGGGUCUGCAACCCGACCCCACGAAGCUGGAUUCGCUAGUAAUCGCGCAUCAGCCAUGGCGCGGUGAAUACGUUCCCGGGCCUUGUACACACCGCCCGUCAAGCCAUGAAAGCCGGGGGCGCCUAAAGUCCGUGACCGUAAGGAGCGGCCUAGGGCGAAACUGGUAAUUGGGGCUAAGUCGUAACAAGGUA
rnacentral:rRNA from 1 species